GACGAACGCUGGCGGCGUGCUUAACACAUGCAAGUCGAACGGAAAGGCCCUGCUUGCAGGGUACUCGAGUGGCGAACGGGUGAGUAACACGUGGGUGAUCUGCCCUGCACUUCGGGAUAAGCCUGGGAAACUGGGUCUAAUACCGGAUAGGAGCCAGUUUUAGUGUGAUGGUUGGACAGUUUUUUCGGUGUAGGAUGAGCUCGCGGCCUAUCAGCUUGUUGGUGGGGUAAUGGCCUACCAAGGCGGCGACGGGUAGCCGGCCUGAGAGGGUGGACGGCCACACUGGGACUGAGAUGCGGCCCAGACUCCUACGGGAGGCAGCAGUGGGGAAGAUUGCACAAUGGGCGCAAGCCGGAUGCAGCGACGCCGCGGGGGGGAUGACGGCCUUCGGGUUGUAAACUCCUUUCGCUAGGGACGAAGCUUUUUGUGACGGUACCUAGAUAAGAAGCACCGGCUAACUACGUG
rnacentral:rRNA from 1 species